rnacentral:rRNA from 1 species
GACGAACGCUGGCGGCGUGCUUAACACAUGCAAGUCGAACGGAAAGGCCCUGCUUUUGUGGUAUGCUCGAGUGGCGCACGGGUGAGUAACACGUGAGUAACCUGCUCUUGACUUUGGGAUAACUUCAGGAAACUGGGGCUAAUACCGGAUAGGAGCUCCUGCUGCAUGGUGGGGGUUGGAAAGUUUCGGCGGUUGGGGAUGGACUCGCGGCCUAUCAGCUGGUUGGUGGGGGAGUGGCUUACCAAGGCUUUGACGGGUAGCCGGCCUGAGAGGGUGACCGGCCACAUUGGGACUGAGAUACGGCCCAGACUCCUACGGGAGGCAGCAGUGGGGAAUAUUGCACAAUGGGCGGAAGCCUGAUGCAGCAACGCCGCGUGCGGGAUGACGGCCUUCGGGUUGUAAACCGCUUUCGCCAGUGACGAAGCGUUAGUGACGGUAACUAGUAAAGAAGCACCGGCUAACUACGUG